GGGAAAUGAACAUAGUGCUCUUCCCUCUCAUUGACAGCGUCCAUCAAGAGCUCACGCCAGGUUUGAAUGAUUUAACGCGACAAAUGACUAUAAGGAUGAGGUAUAAGUGAAUGGUCGAACAAUGGCCACCCUGAAUCAAAGAGACAUUAACCUCGUCACCAUCUCAAGAACUCCAGCGAUUACCAUGCGACGCUCCAACAACUUCACGCGCUUGCUCUUGUGUGUGAUGUUCUUUCCGUUUUGCUCAAGCCAAGACAACAUAACAGAAGGCACGAUGAUCGAGGACCCGCAAACUCUCGUGUCUGCCGGCAAGGAGUUUGAGCUCGGCUUCUUCUCUCCAAAUAGGAGCUCCGACUCCAGGAGGUAUGUGGGAAUAUGGUAUUACGGGUCAGACCCUCCGAUUGUUGUUUGGGUGGCCAACCGGGACGACCCGCUCAUCGGCCUCAAUGCAUCAUUCGGCGUCAUGGACGGUGACCUGCAGUUGCGCCACAAAGGACCAGCGAUCCGGUUGAUCAAUGUCAGGGGUUCCAGCUCUUCAACUCUGGUUGUGAAGCUUCUUGAUACAGGGAAUCUAGUGCUGUUGGAAGACGACAGGAGCGAGACGGUCCUGUGGCAGAGCUUCAAUCACCCGACCGACACCUUCCUACCUGGGAUGCUGAUGAUCAACGGCUUCAACUUGACUUCUUGGGCAAGCCAGGAAGACCCGAAACAGGGGAUGUUCACGUUUCAGAGGGAUCAAGAAAGUGGCAGUAACGAGUACAAAGUAGUCCAAGACCUGUCUCCUUACUGGAGAAGUGGGGUGCAUGGCGACUUCAUACAAGCCGAUGAGAAUUUAUAUGCGAUCAUUCUUUUGCCAAAUGAUUCUCUGGGUUUAGCUUCCGGUCGGUUGGUCAUGAACCACACCGGCCAGAUUCAGUACUUCAGUUUGAAAAAUGGGACGGAGCCAGUCUGGUCCAAGCCAAAGGACAAGUGCAGCGUGCUCAAUGCGUGUGGCAAGUUUGGGAGCUGCAACAUUAUGAAUGGUAACGAAACCAUGUGCAGGUGCUUGCCAGGUUUCAAGCCGGCACAAUUGGAUAAUAGAACCCCAGUGUACUCCAGCGGGUGCCUCAGGAAGUCGUCAAAAUGCUGCGGGAAGAACAGCAACGGUGCUGAUCAUUUCUUGAGUCUGAAAAUGAUGAAGGUCAGGAAGUCAGACAUGCAGAUCCGGACCGAAAACGAGGAGAAAUGCAGGCAAAAGUGCCUCCAUGACUUCAGAUGCCAGGCUUACUCGUUCAUGGAGGAUCAGAGUCGAGCGGCAGAUACAUGCUACACUUGGUCAGACUAUCUCGACAAUAUUCAGGAGUUUGCCCGAGAUGGUCACGACCUCUAUGUCCGAGUGCCGCUUUCAGACAUAGAAUCUACUAACGGGAGCUGUGGAACUUGUGGCACUAAUUUAGUCCCCUAUCCUUUAAGCACGGGACAAAGCUGUGGCGAUCCACUAUACUCUGCAUUUAGCUGUGACAGUAUGACUGCCCAGCUUUACUUUGAACUACCCAUGGAUCGCUACAGAAUCACUAGUGUCAAUCCAGAAACUCGAAUAUUUACCAUCCAAGUCAACGAAAGAUUCAAAUGCAUGAGUGAGGAUCUAAAGAAAAUCAGUCAGCGGCUUGGCCAGUCCGGGCCAUUUGCUGUGAGUGGCGGGUGUAUUGGAGGACAGACUGACUUUAGCGCAGAUGCCUCCCUUGGAAGUGUCAGGUCGAGCGAAGUGAAAAUUGUGUGGAGGGAUCCAAAGGAGCCACUCUGCAAUUCAUCCAAAGACUGCGAUUGGCCUAACGCAACUUGCAAGAGUGCAUCAGAUGGAAUUACAAAGUGCCUCUGCGACUCGGGAUUCAGUUGGAAUUCUUCCAACGUCAGCUGUUCUCCGGAAUAUCAGCCAGGGAUUGUGACCAUGCACUUGAAGUCCUCACAUCUGUCCUUUUAUCAAAUUAGCGAGUCCAUGUGUCUACAAUUAUUCGUUCACUUUUGUCCAAAAUACAGUACUUACACUUUCUUUUCUUCUCUAGCGGGAGUAGGUAAUAACGUUGAAGGAGGAGGAUCAUCGCAGAAAAGACAGAAAGUGAAACCUGUAUACAUAGUUGCUCCUGCGGUUGCUGCAAUUUUCAUCCUUGUAUUUGGUGGCUUAUUUUACAUGAGAAGGCAGCAUGGGAGCAGGGAAAGCACACUAGAAAUUCUUGACUUUCGUUUAUACGAGAGCGAGAAACGAAUCAAAAUGUGGAUGGAUUCAUGCCAGUUCGAGGAGGAAGAUAAGAAAGGCAUAGAAGUGCCAUUCUUUGACUUAGAAAUUAUUUUACAAGCGACAAAUCACUUCUCAGACGAGAACAAACUUGGAAGAGGCGGGUUUGGGCCUGUUUACAAGGCUACUUUUCCAAGAGGACAGGAAAUUGCAGUAAAGAGACUAUUGAGUGGAUCGGGACAGGGCUUGGAGGAAUUUAAGAAUGAAGUCGUCUUGAUUGCCAAAUUGCAGCAUCGAAAUCUCGUCAAAUUAGUAGGAUAUUGCGUCGAAGGAGAUGAAAAAAUGUUACUAUAUGAAUACAUGCCCAACAAAAGCUUAGAUUCUUUCAUAUUUGAUCGAACAAGGUGUUCCUUGCUAACUUGGGAGAUACGCUUUGAGAUUAUCUUGGGAAUUGCACGAGGAAUGCUCUAUCUCCACCAAGAUUCAAGGCUGCGAAUCAUUCAUAGAGAUCUCAAGACGAGCAACGUUUUGCUCGAUGAGGAGAUGACUCCUAAAAUUUCCGACUUUGGUCUGGCACGUAUAUUUGAGGCAAAACAAACUGAAGCAUGCACAAAAAGGGUGAUUGGAACAUAUGGAUACAUGUCUCCAGAGUAUGCUUUAGAUGGAUUUUUUUCUUUCAAGUCCGAUGUUUUCAGCUUUGGCGUUGUCGUACUGGAGAUUGUUAGCGGAAGACGUAACACAUGCUUUUAUCACUCUGAAGGAACACUGAGCCUUCUCACUCAUGCAUGGGAAUUAUGGAAUGACAAUAAAGCACUGGACUUGAUGGAUCAAGUGUUGCACGAAACUUGCAACAAAGAUCAAGUCUUGAAAUGCAUAAACGUCGCGCUUUUAUGCGUGCAAGAUAACCCCAGCGAUCGUCCCACGAUGUCAAAUGCAGUUCUCAUGCUUAGUAGUGAAACUACGACUCUUCCAACUCCAAAACCGGCUUUUGCAUUUAGGAUGGGCAUCUCUACAACAGCUUCUACUUCCAGCAAAUCAGAGUCAAAUGCGGUGUUAUCGACUACUCUGGAACAAGGACGCGUCCAUCAAGAGCUCACGCCAGUGAAUGGUCGAACAAUGGCCACCCUGAAUCAAAGAGACAUUAACCUCGUCACCAUCUCAAGAACUCCAGCGAUUACCAUGCGACGCUCCAACAACUUCACGCGCUUGCUCUUGUGUGUGAUGUUCUUUCCGUUUUGCUCAAGCCAAGACAACAUAACAGAAGGCACGAUGAUCGAGGACCCGCAAACUCUCGUGUCUGCCGGCAAGGAGUUUGAGCUCGGCUUCUUCUCUCCAAAUAGGAGCUCCGACUCCAGGAGGUAUGUGGGAAUAUGGUAUUACGGGUCAGACCCUCCGAUUGUUGUUUGGGUGGCCAACCGGGACGACCCGCUCAUCGGCCUCAAUGCAUCAUUCGGCGUCAUGGACGGUGACCUGCAGUUGCGCCACAAAGGACCAGCGAUCCGGUUGAUCAAUGUCAGGGUUCCAGCUCUUCAACUCUGGUUGUGAAGCUUCUUGAUACAGGGAAUCUAGUGCUGUUGGAAGACGACAGGAGCGAGACGGUCCUGUGGCAGAGCUUCAAUCACCCGACCGACACCUUCCUACCUGGGAUGCUGAUGAUCAACGGCUUCAACUUGACUUCUUGGGCAAGCCAGGAAGACCCGAAACAGGGGAUGUUCACGUUUCAGAGGGAUCAAGAAAGUGGCAGUAACGAGUACAAAGUAGUCCAAGACCUGUCUCCUUACUGGAGAAGUGGGGUGCAUGGCGACUUCAUACAAGCCGAUGAGAAUUUAUAUGCGAUCAUUCUUUUGCCAAAUGAUUCUCUGGGUUUAGCUUCCGGUCGGUUGGUCAUGAACCACACCGGCCAGAUUCAGUACUUCAGUUUGAAAAAUGGGACGGAGCCAGUCUGGUCCAAGCCAAAGGACAAGUGCAGCGUGCUCAAUGCGUGUGGCAAGUUUGGGAGCUGCAACAUUAUGAAUGGUAACGAAACCAUGUGCAGGUGCUUGCCAGGUUUCAAGCCGGCACAAUUGGAUAAUAGAACCCCAGUGUACUCCAGCGGGUGCCUCAGGAAGUCGUCAAAAUGCUGCGGGAAGAACAGCAACGGUGCUGAUCAUUUCUUGAGUCUGAAAAUGAUGAAGGUCAGGAAGUCAGACAUGCAGAUCCGGACCGAAAACGAGGAGAAAUGCAGGCAAAAGUGCCUCCAUGACUUCAGAUGCCAGGCUUACUCGUUCAUGGAGGAUCAGAGUCGAGCGGCAGAUACAUGCUACACUUGGUCAGACUAUCUCGACAAUAUUCAGGAGUUUGCCCGAGAUGGUCACGACCUCUAUGUCCGAGUGCCGCUUUCAGACAUAGAAUCUACUAACGGGAGCUGUGGAACUUGUGGCACUAAUUUAGUCCCCUAUCCUUUAAGCACGGGACAAAGCUGUGGCGAUCCACUAUACUCUGCAUUUAGCUGUGACAGUAUGACUGCCCAGCUUUACUUUGAACUACCCAUGGAUCGCUACAGAAUCACUAGUGUCAAUCCAGAAACUCGAAUAUUUACCAUCCAAGUCAACGAAAGAUUCAAAUGCAUGAGUGAGGAUCUAAAGAAAAUCAGUCAGCGGCUUGGCCAGUCCGGGCCAUUUGCUGUGAGUGGCGGGUGUAUUGGAGGACAGACUGACUUUAGCGCAGAUGCCUCCCUUGGAAGUGUCAGGUCGAGCGAAGUGAAAAUUGUGUGGAGGGAUCCAAAGGAGCCACUCUGCAAUUCAUCCAAAGACUGCGAUUGGCCUAACGCAACUUGCAAGAGUGCAUCAGAUGGAAUUACAAAGUGCCUCUGCGACUCGGGAUUCAGUUGGAAUUCUUCCAACGUCAGCUGUUCUCCGGAAUAUCAGCCAGGGAUUGUGACCAUGCACUUGAAGUCCUCACAUCUGUCCUUUUAUCAAAUUAGCGAGUCCAUGUGUCUACAAUUAUUCGUUCACUUUUGUCCAAAAUACAGUACUUACACUUUCUUUUCUUCUCUAGCGGGAGUAGGUAAUAACGUUGAAGGAGGAGGAUCAUCGCAGAAAAGACAGAAAGUGAAACCUGUAUACAUAGUUGCUCCUGCGGUUGCUGCAAUUUUCAUCCUUGUAUUUGGUGGCUUAUUUUACAUGAGAAGGCAGCAUGGGAGCAGGGAAAGCACACUAGAAAUUCUUGACUUUCGUUUAUACGAGAGCGAGAAACGAAUCAAAAUGUGGAUGGAUUCAUGCCAGUUCGAGGAGGAAGAUAAGAAAGGCAUAGAAGUGCCAUUCUUUGACUUAGAAAUUAUUUUACAAGCGACAAAUCACUUCUCAGACGAGAACAAACUUGGAAGAGGCGGGUUUGGGCCUGUUUACAAGGCUACUUUUCCAAGAGGACAGGAAAUUGCAGUAAAGAGACUAUUGAGUGGAUCGGGACAGGGCUUGGAGGAAUUUAAGAAUGAAGUCGUCUUGAUUGCCAAAUUGCAGCAUCGAAAUCUCGUCAAAUUAGUAGGAUAUUGCGUCGAAGGAGAUGAAAAAAUGUUACUAUAUGAAUACAUGCCCAACAAAAGCUUAGAUUCUUUCAUAUUUGAUCGAACAAGGUGUUCCUUGCUAACUUGGGAGAUACGCUUUGAGAUUAUCUUGGGAAUUGCACGAGGAAUGCUCUAUCUCCACCAAGAUUCAAGGCUGCGAAUCAUUCAUAGAGAUCUCAAGACGAGCAACGUUUUGCUCGAUGAGGAGAUGACUCCUAAAAUUUCCGACUUUGGUCUGGCACGUAUAUUUGAGGCAAAACAAACUGAAGCAUGCACAAAAAGGGUGAUUGGAACAUAUGGAUACAUGUCUCCAGAGUAUGCUUUAGAUGGAUUUUUUUCUUUCAAGUCCGAUGUUUUCAGCUUUGGCGUUGUCGUACUGGAGAUUGUUAGCGGAAGACGUAACACAUGCUUUUAUCACUCUGAAGGAACACUGAGCCUUCUCACUCAUGCAUGGGAAUUAUGGAAUGACAAUAAAGCACUGGACUUGAUGGAUCAAGUGUUGCACGAAACUUGCAACAAAGAUCAAGUCUUGAAAUGCAUAAACGUCGCGCUUUUAUGCGUGCAAGAUAACCCCAGCGAUCGUCCCACGAUGUCAAAUGCAGUUCUCAUGCUUAGUAGUGAAACUACGACUCUUCCAACUCCAAAACCGGCUUUUGCAUUUAGGAUGGGCAUCUCUACAACAGCUUCUACUUCCAGCAAAUCAGAGUCAAAUGCGGUGUUAUCGACUACUCUGGAACAAGGACGGUAACCUUGGAUCUUCCCGGAAUUCAUUCCACAUCUCAACUGUACCAGGCAUUUGUUUAACUAGGAAUGCCUCAAUUUUUGCCCCAUGAUAGUCUUUCUCCAACAAAAUACACUUCUCUCUAUGUUGAUUGCCGGUGCUUCUCCUCGGCUUAAAGACUACGAUACUAACAUUGCAAAUCGGCUUCUUCAUCCCGGGAGCAGCUUCUUUUCUUGUCAU